rfam:Talaromyces islandicus isolate WF-38-12 genome assembly, contig: WF-38-12_scaffold00002
AUCGUGUUAGUUUAAUGGUAAAAUAGUAUGCUACGGACAUACUUAUAUAAGUUCGAGUCUUAUACACGUUA